UCGAGGAUCUUCGGCAAUGGGCGCAAGCCUGACCGAGCGACGCCGCGUGGGCGAUGAAGGCCUUCGGGUUGUAAAGCCCUGUCGAGGGGGAUAAAGGCGCAAGCUUGAUUGAUCCCUGGAGGAAGCACGGGCUAAGUUCGUGCCAGCAGCCGCGGUAAGACGAACCGUGCGAACGUUGUUCGGAAUCACUGGGCUUAAAGGGCGCGUAGGCGGCUCGCCAAGUCCGGGGUGAAAGCCCCCGGCUCAACCGGGGAAGUGCCUUGGAUACUGGCGGGCUCGAGGGAGGUAGGGGCAGGGGGAACUUCGGGUGGAGCGGUGAAAUGCGUUGAUAUCCGAAGGAACGCCGGUGGCGAAAGCGCCCUGCUGGAUCUCUGCUGACGCUGAGGCGCGAAAGCCAGGGGAGCGAACGG
rnacentral:rRNA from 1 species